rnacentral:rRNA from 1 species
GGAUGAUACUAAGCCAUGCGAGUCAUUGUAGCAAUACAAGGCAGACGGCUCAGUAACGCGUAGUCAAUCUACCCUAUGGACGGGAAUAACCUCGGGAAACUGAGAAUAAUGCCCGAUAGAACAUUAUACCUGGAACGGUUUAUGUUUCAAAUGAUUUAUCGCCGUAGGAUGGGACUGCGGCCUAUCAGUUUGUUGGUGAGGUAAUGGCCCACCAAGACUAUUACAGGUACGGGCUCUGAGAGGAGUAGCCCGGAGAUGGGUACUGAGACACGGACCCAGGCCCUAUGGGGCGCAGCAGGCGAGAAAACUUUGCAAUGUGCGAAAGCACGACAAGGUUAAUCCGAGUGGUUUCUGCUAAAGAAACCUUUUGCUAGUCCUAGAAACACUAGUGAAUAAGGGGUGGGCAAGUUCUGGUGUCAGCCGCCGCGGUAAAACCAGCACCUCAAGUGGUCAGGAUGAUUAUUGGGCCUAAAGCAUCCGUAGCCCGUUUUGUAAGUUUUCGGUUAAAUCCAUACGCUCAACGUAUGGGCUGCCGGGAAUACUGCAUAACUAGGAAGUGGGAGAGGUAGACGGUACUCGGUAGGAAGGGGUAAAAUCCUUUGAUCUAUUGAUGACCACCUGUGGCGAAGGCGGUCUACCAGAACACGUUCGACGGUGAGGGAUGAAAGCUGGGGGAGCAAACCGGAUUAGAUACCCGGGUAGUCCCAGCUGUAAACUAUGCAAACUCAGUGAUGCAUUGGCUUGUGGCCAAUGCAGUGCUGCAGGGAAGCCGUUAAGUUUGCCGCCUGGGAAGUACGUACGCAAGUAUGAAACUUAAAGGAAUUGGCGGGGGAGCACCACAAGGGGUGAAGCCUGCGGUUCAAUUGGAG